UACGAAGGGUGCAAGCGUUACUCGGAAUUACUGGGCGUAAAGCGUGCGUAGGUGGUUUGUUAAGUCUGCUGUGAAAGCCCCGGGCUCAACCUGGGAAUGGCAGUGGAUACUGGCAAGCUAGAGUGCGGUAGAGGGGUGUGGAAUUCCCGGUGUAGCGGUGAAAUGCGUAGAGAUCGGGAGGAACACCAGUGGCGAAGGCGGCACCCUGGACCAGCACUGACACUGAGGCCCGAAAGCGUGGGGAGCAAACAGG
rnacentral:rRNA from 1 species